rnacentral:rRNA from 1 species
UACAGAGGGGGCUAGCGUUGUUCGGAAUUACUGGGCGUAAAGGGCGCGUAGGUGGCCUGUUAAGUCGAACGUGAAAUCCCCGGGCUCAACCCGGGAACUGCGUCCGAGACUGGCAGGCUCGAAUCCGGGAGAGGGAUGUGGAAUUCCAGGUGUAGCGGUGAAAUGCGCAGAUAUCAGGAGGAACACCAAUGGCGAAGGCAGCUCGCUGGGACGUGACUGACGCUGAGACGCGAAAGCGUGGGGAGCAAACAGG